rnacentral:rRNA from 1 species
UGCCCAAGAGAUCGGGAUAACACCUGGAAACAGAUGCUAAUACCGGAUAACAACAGAUGAUGCCUAUCAACUGUUUAAAAGAUGGUUCUGCUAUCACUCUUGGAUGGACCUGCGGUGCAUUAGCUAGUUGGUAGGGUAACGGCCUACCAAGGCGAUGAUGCAUAGCCGAGUUGAGAGACUGAUCGGCCACAUUGGGACUGAGACACGGCCCAAACUCCUACGGGAGGCAGCAGCA